rnacentral:piRNA from 1 species
UUUACACUAAUGUCCCCAAACACUUCGUG